UGCUGGAGGUAUCAGAAGUGCGAAUGCUGACAUAAGUAACGAUAAAGCGGGUGAAAAGCCCGCUCGCCGGAAGACCAAGGGUUCCUGUCCAACGUUAAUCGGGGCAGGGUGAGUCGACCCCUAAGGCGAGGCCGAAAGGCGUAGUCGAUGGGAAACGGGUUAAUAUUCCCGUACUUGGUGUUACUGCGAAGGGGGGACGGAGAAGGCUAUGUUGGCCGGGCGACGGUUGUCCCGGUUUAAGCGUGUAGGUGUGUGUUCCAGGUAAAUCCGGUUCACUUUAACACUGAGGCGUGAUGACGAGGCACUACGGUGCUGAAGCAACAAAUGCCCUGCUUCCAGGAAAAGCCUCUAAGCAUCAGGUAACAUCAAAUCGUACCCCAAACCGACACAGGUGGUCAGGUAGAGAAUACCAAGGCGCUUGAGAGAACUCGGGUGAAGGAACUAGGCAAAAUGGUGCCGUAACUUCGGGAGAAGGCACGCUGACACGUAGGUGAAGUGAUUUACUCACGGAGCUGAAGUCAGUCGAAGAUACCAGCUGGCUGCAACUGUUUAUUAAAAACACAGCACUGUGCAAACACGAAAGUGGACGUAUACGGUGUGACGCCUGCCCGGUGCCGGAAGGUUAAUUGAUGGGGUCAGCGCAAGCGAAGCUCCUGAUCGAAGCCCCGGUAAACGGCGGCCGUAACUAUAACGGUCCUAAGGUAGCGAAAUUCCUUGUCGGGUAAGUUCCGACCUGCACGAAUGGCGUAAUGAUGGCCAGGCUGUCUCCACCCGAGACUCAGUGAAAUUGAACUCGCUGUGAAGAUGCAGUGUACCCGCGGCAAGACGGAAAGACCCCGUGAACCUUUACUAUAGCUUGACACUGAACAUUGAGCCUUGAUGUGUAGGAUAGGUGGGAGGCUUUGAAGUGUGGACGCCAGUCUGCAUGGAGCCGACCUUGAAAUACCACCCUUUAAUGUUUGAUGUUCUAACGUGGACCCGUGAUCCGGGUUGCGGACAGUGUCUGGUGGGUAGUUUGACUGGGGCGGUCUCCUCCUAAAGAGUAACGGAGGAGCACGAAGGUUGGCUAAUCCUGGUCGGACAUCAGGAGGUUAGUGCAAUGGCAUAAGCCAGCUUGACUGCGAGCGUGACGGCGCGAGCAGGUGCGAAAGCAGGUCAUAGUGAUCCGGUGGUUCUGAAUGGAAGGGCCAUCGCUCAACGGAUAAAAGGUACUCCGGGGAUAACAGGCUGAUACCGCCCAAGAGUUCAUAUCGACGGCGGUGUUUGGCACCUCGAUGUCGGCUCAUCACAUCCUGGGGCUGAAGUAGGUCCCAAGGGUAUGGCUGUUCGCCAUUUAAAGUGGUACGCGAGCUGGGUUUAGAACGUCGUGAGACAGUUCGGUCCCUAUCUGCCGUGGGCGCUGGAGAACUGAGGGGGGCUGCUCCUAGUACGAGAGGACCGGAGUGGACGCAUCACUGGUGUUCGGGUUGUCAUGCCAAUGGCACUGCCCGGUAGCUAAAUGCGGAAGAGAUAAGUGCUGAAAGCAUCUAAGCACGAAACUUGCCCCGAGAUGAGUUCUCCCUGAGACUUAAAGUCUCCUGAAGGAACGUUGAAGACGACGACGUUGAUAGGCCGGGUGUGUAAGCGCAGCGAUGCGUUG
rnacentral:rRNA from 1 species